UAACGCGUGAGUAACCUGCCCUGGAGUGGGGGACAACAGUUGGAAACGACUGCUAAUACCGCAUAAGCCCACGGCCCGGCAUCGGGCUGAGGGAAAAGGAUUUAUUCGCUUCAGGAUGGACUCGCGUCCAAUUAGCUAGUUGGUGAGGUAACGGCCCACCAAGGCGACGAUUGGUAGCCGGACUGAGAGGUUGAACGGCCACAUUGGGACUGAGACACGGCCCAGACUCCUACGGGAGGCAGCAGUGGGGGAUAUUGCACAAUGGGGGAAACCCUGAUGCAGCGACGCCGCGUGGAGGAGGAAGGUUUUCGGAUUGUAAACUCCUGUCGUUAGGGACGAUAAUGACGGUACCUAACAAGAAAGCACCGGCUAACUACGUGCCAGCAGCCGCGGUAAAACGUA
rnacentral:rRNA from 1 species